rnacentral:lncRNA from 1 species
GGAUUUUUUGAAGUUCUGAACAGGGCCCCAUUUCACAUAUUUUUAGUGAGUUGUAACCUUUAAAUGCUGAUUACCAGAUUGGUCUCAUUUGAAUCUUAUUUUUACAUCUAGAAUGAGUUUUAUGUUUCAGUGCAGCUAAACCUGCUGGUAUCAUUUUAGUCUAAUUAACAGUAUUUUGUGAUCUGGGGCUCCUAUCAAAGUUCAUCAUAAGAGCUAGAAAACCCUGGGAGGUAAAAUGAACACAUGACCUCAUCUCCUGUUUUGCACUAGACUCUAACUUGCAU